GACGAACGCUGGCGGCGUGCUUAACACAUGCAAGUCGAGCGGUAAGGCCCUUUCGGGGGUACACGAGCGGCGAACGGGUGAGUAACACGUGGGUGACCUGCCCUCAGCUCUGGGAUAAGCCCGGGAAACUGGGUCUAAUACCGGAUAUGACUCCAUGACGCAUGUUGUGGGGUGGAAAGCCUUGUGCGGCUGAGGAUGGGCCCGCGGCCUAUCAGCUUGUUGGUGGGGUGAUGGCCACCAAGGCGACGACGGGUAGCCGGCCUGAGAGGGCGACCGGCCACACUGGGACUGAGAUACGGCCCAGGACUCCUACGGGAGGCAGCAGUGGGGAAUCUUGCGCAAUGGGCGAAGCCUGACGCAGCGACGCCGCGUGAGGGAUGACGGCCU
rnacentral:rRNA from 1 species